AUUGAACGCUGGCGGCAGGCCUAACACAUGCAAGUCGAGCGGAGCGGCUGUCGGAUGAGUAAUGCCUAGGAAGCUACCUGGUCUUGGGGGAUAACGUCCGGAAACGGGCGCUUAUACCGCAUACUAUCAGAUGAGCCUAGGUCUGAUUAGCUAGUUGGUGGGGUAAAGGCCUACAAAGGCGACGAUCCGUAACUGGUCUGAGAGGAUGAUCAGUCACACUGGAACUGAGACACGGCCCAGACUCCUACGGGAGGAAGCAGUGGGGAAUAUUGGACAAUGGGCGAAAGCCUGAUCCAGCCAUGCCGCGUGUGUGAAGAAGGUCUUCGGAUUGUAAAGCACUUUUAGUUGGGAGGCGUUACCAACAGAAUAAGCACCGGCUAACUUCGUGCCAGCAGCCGCGGUAAUUC
rnacentral:rRNA from 1 species